rnacentral:lncRNA from 1 species
GAGUUAUGGGCUGGUGUGCUUAGUCCAAUUGGGUCUUCUGCAGGCCCGUCCACAUGGAGCAGCCAAGUGAAGGCCCGACCGCGGGUCACGCGAGCAUGGGCGAGGUGUGCGACCUCAAGUUUGUGCAUAUAUGAGGGGCUGCGCACAUGUCGUGUGAGUCUUGCCUGCAUGUUGCGCACAUGGGGCAUGCAGGCUGUUCCAGUCGCACACUCGCAUGCUGCUUCACGCGUGCGAGUCACCCACCUGCACGAGCAGAUCUCUAGGCUCGUUACUCACGUGUCAAAGGUAGUUUAUGCAUAUUGCACGUGUCUUCCAUCUUUGCACUAGAUUUUGGGCUUCCUUUGUGCUUCAUCAAUGAUCGUGUUGCUUACCCAAUCCUCGACUAGCAG